GGCGGCGUGCCUAACACAUGCAAGUCGUACGAGAAAGUCCCGUUCGCGGGAUGAGUAAAGUGGCGGCACGGGUGAGUAAUGCGUGGAUAAUCUGCCCUUUAGUUGGGAAUAACGUGCCGAAAGGUGCGCUAAUACCCGAUAAUACUGCACAACUACUGUUGUGUAGUCAAAGAAGGCCUCUGUUUACAAGCUUUUGCUGAAGGAUGAGUCCGGUACCAUUAGGCUGGUUGGUGGGGUAAUGGCCUACCAAGGCUACGAUGGUUAGCUGGUCUGAGAGGAUGAUCAGCCACACUGGAACUGAGACACGGUCCAGACUCCUACGGGAGGCAGCAGUGAGGAAUAUUGCGCAAUGGGGGCAACCCUGACGCAGCAACGCCGCGUGAGUGAGGAAGGUUUUCGGACCGUAAAGCUCUGUCGAGCGGGAAGAAAUGCAUGGUGGCUAAUAUCCAUCAUGCUUGACGGUACCGCUAAAGGAAGCACCGGCUAACUCCGUG
rnacentral:rRNA from 1 species